GGGUGCGUAACGCGUAUGCAACCUACCUUCUACAGGGGGAUAGCCCAGAGAAAUUUGGAAUAAUACCCCAUACGGUCAUUUAAUGGCAUCGUUAAAUGAAGAAAACUCCGGUGGUAGAAGAUGGGCAUGCGUCCUAUUAGUUAGUUGGUAAGGUAAUGGCUUACCAAGACACCGAUAGGUAGGGGUCCUGAGAGGGAGAUCCCCCACACUGGUACUGAGACACGGACCAGACUCCUACGGGAGGCAGCAGUGAGGAAUAUUGGACAAUGGAGGCAACUCUGAUCCAGCCAUGCCGCGUGCAGGAAGACGGCCCUACGGGUUGUAAACUGCUUUUAUACAGGAAGAAU
rnacentral:rRNA from 1 species